rnacentral:rRNA from 1 species
AAAUUGAAGAGUUUGAUCAUGGCUCAGAUUGAACGCUGGCGGCAGGCCUAACACAUGCAAGUCGAGCGGUAGCACAGAGAGCUUGCUCUCGGGUGACGAGCGGCGGACGGGUGAGUAAUGUCUGGGAAACUGCCUGAUGGAGGGGGAUAACUACUGGAAACGGUAGCUAAUACCGCAUAACGUCGCAAGACCAAAGUGGGGGACCUUCGGGCCUCAUGCCAUCAGAUGUGCCCAGAUGGGAUUAGCUGGUAGGUGGGGUAACGGCUCACCUAGGCGACGAUCCCUAGCUGGUCUGAGAGGAUGACCAGCCACACUGGAACUGAGACACGGUCCAGACUCCUACGGGAGGCAGCAGUGGGGAAUAUUGCACAAUGGGCGCAAGCCUGAUGCAGCCAUGCCGCGUGUGUGAAGAAGGCCUUCGGGUUGUAAAGCACUUUCAGCGGGGAGGAAGGCGAUAAGGUUAAUAACCUUGUCGAUUGACGUUACCCGCAGAAGAAGCACCGGCUAACUCCGUGCCAGCAGCCGCGGUAAUACGGAGGGUGCAAGCGUUAAUCGGAAUUACUGGGCGUAAAGCGCACGCAGGCGGUCUGUCAAGUCGGAUGUGAAAUCCCCGGGCUCAACCUGGGAACUGCAUUCGAAACUGGCAGGCUAGAGUCUUGUAGAGGGGGGUAGAAUUCCAGGUGUAGCGGUGAAAUGCGUAGAGAUCUGGAGGAAUACCGGUGGCGAAGGCGGCCCCCUGGACAAAGACUGACGCUCAGGUGCGAAAGCGUGGGGAGCAAACAGGAUUAGAUACCCUGGUAGUCCACGCUGUAAACGAUGUCGAUUUGGAGGUUGUGCCCUUGAGGCGUGGCUUCCGGAGCUAACGCGUUAAAUCGACCGCCUGGGGAGUACGGCCGCAAGGUUAAAACUCAAAUGAAUUGACGGGGGCCCGCACAAGCGGUGGAGCAUGUGGUUUAAUUCGAUGCAACGCGAAGAACCUUACCUGGUCUUGACAUCCACAGAACUUUCCAGAGAUGGAUUGGUGCCUUCGGGAACUGUGAGACAGGUGCUGCAUGGCUGUCGUCAGCUCGUGUUGUGAAAUGUUGGGUUAAGUCCCGCAACGAGCGCAACCCUUAUCCUUUGUUGCCAGCGGUUAGGCCGGGAACUCAAAGGAGACUGCCAGUGAUAAACUGGAGGAAGGUGGGGAUGACGUCAAGUCAUCAUGGCCCUUACGACCAGGGCUACACACGUGCUACAAUGGCAUAUACAAAGAGAAGCGACCUCGCGAGAGCAAGCGGACCUCAUAAAGUAUGUCGUAGUCCGGAUUGGAGUCUGCAACUCGACUCCAUGAAGUCGGAAUCGCUAGUAAUCGUAGAUCAGAAUGCUACGGUGAAUACGUUCCCGGGCCUUGUACACACCGCCCGUCACACCAUGGGAGUGGGUUGCAAAAGAAGUAGGUAGCUUAACCUUCGGGAGGGCGCUUACCACUUUGUGAUUCAUGACUGGGGUGAAGUCGUAACAAGGUAACCGUAGGGGAACCUGCGGUUGGAUCACCUCCUUA